rnacentral:rRNA from 1 species
UACGUAGGUGGCAAGCGUUGUUCGGAUUCAUUGGGCGUAAAGGGCAUGUAGGCGGUUUAGUAAGUGUGAAUUUAAAGACCGAAGCUUAACUUCGAGUUUGGUUUGCAAACUGCUUUACUAGAGUGCGGAAGGGGAGACUGGAAUUCCAUGUGUAGGGGUGAAAUCUGUAGAUAUGUGGAAGAAUACCGGUGGCGAAGGCGAGUCUCUGGUCUGUUACUGACGCUGAAAUGCGAAAGUGUGGGGAG